GUUAUAUGGUCAAGUGAAUAAGCGCAUACGGCGGAUGCCUUGGCAGUCAGAGGCGAUGAAAGACGUGGUAGCCUGCGAUAAGCUUCGGGGAGGUGGCAAACAACCUUUGAUCCGGAGAUGUCUGAAUGGGAAAACCCAACCAGCAUAAGCUGGUUAUCCAUAGCUGAAUCCAUAGGCUAUGGAGGCGAACCCGGGGAACUGAAACAUCUAAGUACCCGGAGGAAAAGAAAUCAACCGAGAUUCCCUUAGUAGUGGCGAGCGAACGGGGAUUAGCCCUUAAGUGGCUUUGAGAUUAGUAGAACGCUCUGGAAAGUGCGGCCGUAGUGGGUGAUAGCCCCGUAUACGAAAAUCUCUUAGUCAUGAAAUCGAGUAGGACGGGACACGUGUAAUCUUGUCUGAAUAUGGGGGGACCAUCCUCCAAGGCUAAAUACUACUGACUGACCGAUAGUGAACCAGUACCGUGAGGGAAAGGCGAAAAGAACCCCGGAGAGGGGAGUGAAAUAGAACCUGAA
rnacentral:rRNA from 1 species